UUUCCCUCUUUCUUCCUUCUUUACACAUGCAAGUCGCACGGCAGCGCGGGCUUCGGCCUGGCGGCGAGUGGCGAACGGGUGAGUAAUACAUCGGAACGUGCCCAGUAGUGGGGGAUAGCUCGGCGAAAGCCGGAUUAAUACCGCAUACGACCUGAGGGUGAAAGCGGGGGAUCUUCGGACCUCGCGCUAUUGGAGCGGCCGAUGGCAGAUUGCUAGUUGGUGGGGUAAAGGCCUACCAAGGCGACGAUCUGUAGCUGGUCUGAGAGGACGACCAGCCACACUGGGACUGAGACACGGCCCAGACUCCUACGGGAGGCAGCAGUGGGGAAUUUUGGACAAUGGGCGAAAGCCUGAUCCAGCAAUGCCGCGUGUGUGAUGAAGGCCUUCGGGUUGUAAAGCACUUUUGGCGGGAACGAAAAGGACUGUGCCAAUACCACGGUUCGAUGACGGUACCCGCAGAAUAAGCACCGGCUAACUACGUG
rnacentral:rRNA from 1 species